rnacentral:miRNA from 1 species
UCACCGGGAAUUCUGUGGUGA